GCGGAUGUGGUGGAACUGGUAGACACGCUAGAUUCAGGUUCUAGUGCUCGCAAGGGCAUGAAGGUUCAAGUCCUUUCAUCCGCACUG
rnacentral:tRNA from 1 species